rnacentral:rRNA from 1 species
UAUCUCUGUAGAGUCUGCAUAUCAAUAAGCGGAGGAAAAGAAACUAACUAGGAUUCCCUUAGUGACGGCGAGUGAAGCGGGAAGAGCUCAAAUUUGAAAUCUUCAAGGUUCUACCUUGACGAAUUGUAGUUUAAAGAAGUGUUUUCUGUUGGAGUUUGGUAAAAGUUCUUUGGAAUAGGACAUCAUAGAGGGUGAGAAUCCCGUAUUUGACCAUUAUUUCAGCUUUGUGAUACACUUUCAAAGAGUCGGAUUGUUUGGGAAUGCAGUCCAAAAUGGGUGGUAAAUUUCAUCUAAAGCUAAAUAUUGGCGAGAGACCGAUAGCGAACAAGUACCGUGAGGGAAAGAUGAAAAGAACUUUGAAAAGAGAGUUAAACAGUACGUGAAAUUGUCAAAAGGGAAGCGUUUGACACCAGUGUUGUUUUUCCGAAAAUCAAUUACGAAUGGCUUGAUUCUGUGUUGUAUUGACCUUAUCAGCUUUCUGCACUUUUUUCGAGUCUUUCUUAAUGCACUUUUCGGUUAACAAGUCAACAUCAAUUUCUUUUGUUGUAAAAGAGUAUUCGGAAGGUGGCUUUCUUUUCGGAGAAAGUGUUUAUAGCCCUAUACUUCUACAAUCGGAGAGAUUGAGGUCUGCAGCGUAGAUCCUUCGGGGUUAGAUACACUUGUGCUAAGUUGUAGCUUUUCAUAGACAACUUGUUGACUAUGUUUAGUCAUGUAGCUUACUCGCUUAUGCUAUUUUACCUACGCUUAGGAUGUUGAAGAUGUAGCACAUCAU